rnacentral:rRNA from 1 species
UACGUAGGGCGCAAGCGUUGUCCGGAAUUACUGGGCGUAAAGCGCGUGUAGGCGGCUAAGUAAGUCGGGCGUGAAAUCCCACGGCUCAACCGUGGAAGUGCACUCGAAACUGCGUAGCUAGAGUCCUGGAGAGGAAGGUGGAAUGCUUGGUGUAGAGGUGAAAUUCGUAGAUAUCAAGCGGAACACCGGUGGCGAAGGCGGCCUUCUGGACAGUGACUGGCGCUGAGACACGAAAGCGUGGGGAGCAAACAGG